GAGUUUGAUCGUGGCUCAGAACGAACGCUGGCGGCAGGCUUAACACAUGCAAGUCGAGCGCCCCGCAAGGGGAGCGGCAGACGGGUGAGUAACGCGUGGGAAUCUACCCAAUACUACGGAAUAGCUCCGGGAAACUGGAAUUAAUACCGUAUGUGCCCUACGGGGGAAAGAUUUAUCGGUAUUGGAUGAGCCCGCGUUGGAUUAGCUAGUUGGUGGGGUAAUGGCCUACCAAGGCGACGAUCCAUAGCUGGUCUGAGAGGAUGAUCAGCCACACUGGGACUGAGACACGGCCCAGACUCCUACGGGAGGCAGCAGUGGGGAAUAUUGGACAAUGGGCGAAAGCCUGAUCCAGCCAUGCCGCGUGAGUGAUGAAGGCCUUAGGGUUGUAAAGCUCUUUCAGUAGGGAAGAUAAUGACGGUACCUACAGAAGAAGCCCCGGCUAACUUCGUGCCAGCCGCCGCAGU
rnacentral:rRNA from 1 species